AUUGAACGCUGGCGGCAGGCUUAACACAUGCAAGUCGAGCGGCAGCGACAACAUUGAACUUUCGGGGGAUUUGUUGGGCGGCGAGCGGCGGACGGGUGAGUAAUGCCUAGGAAAUUGCCCUGAUGUGGGGGAUAACCAUUGGAAACGAUGGCUAAUACCGCAUGAUGCCUUCGGGCCAAAGAGGGGGACCUUCGGGCCUCUCGCGUCAGGAUAUACCUAGGUGGGAUUAGCUAGUUGGUGAGGUAAGGGCUCACCAAGGCGACGAUCCCUAGCUGGUCUGAGAGGAUGAUCAGCCACACUGGAACUGAGACACGGUCCAGACUCCUACGGGAGGCAGCAGUGGGGAAUAUUGCACAAUGGGCGCAAGCCUGAUGCAGCCAUGCCGCGUGUGUGAAGAAGGCCUUCGGGUUGUAAAGCACUUUCAGUCGUGAGGAAGGUAGUGUAGUUAAUAGCUGCAUUAUUUGACGUUAGCGACAGAAGAAGCACCGGCUAACUCCGUGC
rnacentral:rRNA from 1 species